UAUUAAAAAGUUUAUCCAUUUGUAAUAUUUUAAAAUCUAACGUGGUUGAUGGAAUAACCUAACACAUGGCGUGCCAUGUAUAUCUCAUAUUGAUGUACAUGGGCUAGUUUUUAAUAGUAGAAAUGAAUGAAAUUUUUAACA
rnacentral:pre_miRNA from 1 species